rnacentral:lncRNA from 1 species
GACUUUGAACUCACGCCAAUUCUCCCACGAUAAGUCUUGUUCAUUGGACUUGGUUUUUACCCAGAGAAACGAAAUGGACUUUAUGUCUUCAAUCACACUCUGAAUUUGGAUCUCCUUUUGGUUGAAGAUUUUAUCGUUUCUUUUUUGUCCAUAAUACUUAUAAACAUGUCAUAACCAUUGCUGAGAUGUAUCUCUUAUGUAUAAAAUUGGAUCCCAACACCUCACCUAGCCGAAUCAUUUCCAGAAGGUUGCUUGGAGUCCUUUGCGGGUGAAGGUUUUCCCAAAUUUUAAAGUGGCACCAAAUUAAUUUUACUGAUUGGCAAUACAUCAAGAUAUGCUCGGAUUGCACCAUACACAGUCUUCCUCCAUAGAUAUCAUUCCUCUUUUUUUAAAGCUACUUUAGUUGGUAUUCUCCCUAAGAUCAAUCGCCAUACAAAGUAACUGACUUUCCUUGGAACCCAAGGGUCCCAAAUCGAGUCAAUAGUAACUGAUGAUGGCGAAUGUGUGUUCACCAGUCCAAAUCCAUUUGUUGUUGUUAUCUGUGA